rnacentral:rRNA from 1 species
GACGAACGCUGGCGGCGUGCUUAACACAUGCAAGUCGAACGGAGUGGCGAACGGGGGAGUAACACGUGGGUGAACAGCUCUGCAAUUCGGGAUAAGCCUGGGGAACAGGGUCUAAUACCGGAUAGUGUGGGAUGGGGCCGGGGCCUAUGAGCUUGUGGGUGGGGUAAUGGCCUACCAAGGCGGCGACGGGUGGCCGGCCUGAGAGGGGGGACGGCCCCAGUAGGACUGAGCCACGGCCCAGACUCCUACGGGGGGCAGCAGUGGGGAAUAUUGCACAGUGAUCGGGAGCCUGAGGCGACGACGCUGCGUGGGUAAUGCCGUCCUUCUGGUUGUGAACUCCUUUCUCCGUCUACGCGGUAGAUGUAGAAGAAGCACCGGCUAACUACGUGCCAGCCGCCGCGGUAAUUC